rfam:Arthrobacter crystallopoietes BAB-32 contig11, whole genome shotgun sequence.
CGGAUCAGCCUUAAGGGUUGGUCUGACGGGGCAGAAGUCAGCCGAGGCCGUAGUACCGGCGGGAAUCGCAAGAUUGUCGGGAAGGGC